GGGCAGUGCAGGUCAGAGGCAGAGGCUGGGCCCAGAUGCCAUGCGAGCUCCAGGCCACUUUCCCAGAGAAGUGAGAAGUGGCCAGGCUGCCAGAGACGGUGUGGCCUCUUCAGGCCCUCACUGGUCCUGAUUUUGAGGGGUGACUCAUGCCGUCUUGGACAUCCACUUCUGGCUCAAGUUGCUCUGGGUUCCUCCACACAGACCAGAGGGAUUCCUGCGUCACAGGAAUCCAGGAAGGGGUGGGGGGAGUUGCAGGUUGAGAAGACAGAGUUCUUGCCGCACGUGCAGAGAGAGAGGAACUUCCAGUGCCCGCUAUGGAGCCAGAGUCCACAGCAUGGGGAAGGCCCCAUUCAGAGGCAGCAGUGCAGCUAGAGGUAGCUCCAGAGCCCUCCAGGCCCUGCACCGGUACAGCCAAGGACCAGCCAAGCAAGGAGCUGCCAGACCUCAUGCCACCUGCUAUAGCCACUGGCUUCAACCCUGGAGCUGAGAGCGUAGCUGGAGAUAGACGUGGCAGAGAGGAGAUUGCGAGCAAGGCUCCAGCCAGCAGCUCCCAAGCUGCCCCUAGUCCCGGGCAUGGUGUGAGCCUUGGUGUCGGAGGCCAGGGUGUUAAGCCUGGGUUCCUCUACCUCACUAAAGAGAGGCCUUUUUUAUUUACUAGAGCCACAGCCCUGCUGCAUCGGGACCUUUUCACUCUGCUGGUGCUGGGGCUGUCUAUCUGCAAGCUGGAGGUGCUUGAGAGCAGGAAAAGGAGCCUGUGAGGAAGGGUUCCAGCAGCUCCUCCUGCUCCCAGAGGUGGACUCCUCCUUCAGGCAUGGAGGUCUCUCUGCUACUGGGCUUCUGGGCUAUUUGCCCCUGAUUUGCUCCCUGGGACGGGCUCUUCUUAACAGGCAGGCAAGGGGCGUGGGGACCACGUGGGGGCUUCAAAGGGUACAGCAUCAAAUCUUCCAAACUCAGCACUUGUGCCCCGGGGUCUCUAAUCUGUCUUCUGCCCUAGGAUUUAUUAAUAGUUAAAUCUAGUUAAAUUACCAGUUUAUACAAAUGACGUUUAAAUAAAAUUUGAUUU